AAUUCUCUGGCUAAAGUAGCGUUUCGUUUUAGCGGAAAGUAGCAUUUUUUAAUGCGAGAAUUU
rnacentral:tRNA from 1 species